AGUUGGGAGAGCAUCGCCCUUACAAGGCGAGGGUCACUGGUUCAAGCCCAGUAGCG
rnacentral:tRNA from 1 species